UGCAUAAUUUCACUUUACCAAAAAGAUUAACACAACACAGAUAAAGGCAGAAAGAAAGAUUCAUCAGAAAUGCUAAAGUAAGUUUUUUGUAACUCAAGAGUAUAUAGUUUUAGAUAUUCCAAAGGUAUCCCAAUAUUCAAGAAUAAAAUAAAAGCUUCAUGUACAAAAUGUCCAAUUUAUUUUAAAAUCAUUUUUUCAAUAUUUCCACAGUAGUAGGUAUAUAUAUAAGGAAGGUUUUAUGUCCUCCUUUCCUUCCGUAGGGUUAGGACAGAUCUAAGUUUCACAGAUCAAAUACAUACCAUGCUGACAUCAGAAAACAGGCAACUUAUUUUAAAUAGAUGGUAAAAUUUCAUACCUCCUAAAAAACAAUUUUAGAGUUUACAUGAAGUUAGAGAAAAAUUAGUCUGUAUCACAGUAUAAGCUAUCAUUAAGAAGAGAUACACUAAUUGACAUUUCACAAAUAUCCUUAAAAGCACUCCAAGUAUGUAUCAUACUAAAGUUAGACAUAUACAUACUCCAUGAUUCAGCAGUUCCAUUCCUGUGCAUAUACUCAUCAAAAAUGAAUGCUUAUGAUAUGAAAGAUAUAAAAAAAAAAUUCAUGGCAGUCUUAUUUGUAGCCCCAAAUUGUUAAGAUAUUCAAUAUCCAUUUAUAGUAGAAAGGAUAAAUGGUGGUAUAAUCAUACAAACAAAUACGGACAAUUGGGGUGGGGUACAAAUAAAAAAAAAAAACAAUACAUGGGUGACUCUCAGAGAUGUAAUGUUGAUCAAAAAACUCAGACACAAAAGUUCAUAUUAUAUGAUUCAGACACAAGAGUUCAUAUUAUAUGAUUCUAAUUGUAUAAAGUUCAAGAACAGGCAAAACUAACACAUAGUAAAAAAUGCCAUAGGCUGGUUUCUGUUGAACAGAAGUAGUACUGCCUAAGACAGACAGUCUCCUGGGAUAGUGUUAGUUAUGCUGGGUAUGCUGUGUGGAAAAAAAAAAAAAAAAGAAGAAGAAGAAGAAAGAAGGAAAAAGAAAAAUCACUGAACUAGCAAGUAAGAGUGCCUGUUUGACUACAUGAAAUUAUGGCUUGGUAAAAAGUUUGUUUUCUUUAGGAAACUUUUUUUUAAAGGGCCUUAAGUAUUUUGAGUCAGUUUCAAAAGAAUUACUUAAAACCAAUUCCUAUUUUGAAUUUACAUAAGUCUGUCUACUUAAUCCUACAACUAAACUUAAUUUAUUUGCAGUUUUUAAUCAAAAAUAGUAACGAGUUCAACUUUAUUCAAACAUACUCUUAAUUUUGAGAUUACAUGAUAAACUUUCAUAAAUGGAGAAUUCAUAAUGACCUUAAAAGUUUAAGAAUCCUUUGUAUAACUAAUAAACUAUUUGAAUGUAUCGUCAAUAUUUCCUUGUCAUAGUAAAUUCUUCGAUUUAAAAAGAUACCUUUCCAUGCUCAUGGAUUAGAAGAAUAUUGUUAAAAUGUCUAUAUUACCUCAAACAAUAUAUACAUUUAAUGCAAUCCCUAUCAAAAUACCAAUGGCAUUUUUCAUAGAACUAGAACAAAAAAAUUCUAAAAUUUAUACAAAAGAUCCCAAAAUGCCAAAGCAAUUUUGCAAAAGAAAAGUACAGCUGGAGGUAUAAUUCCAGACUUCAAGUUACAUUACAAAGCUAUAGUAAUCAAAAGAGUAUGGUACUAGCACAAAAAUAGACACAUAGAUCAAUGGAACAUAACAGAGAGCCCAGAAAUAAACCCACAAUUAUAGGGUCAAUUAAUCCUUGACAAAGGGGCAAGAUUAUGCAGUGGGAAAAAGACAGUCUCUUUAACAAAUAGUGUUGAGAAAACUGGACAGCUACAUACAAAACAACGGACUAGACCACUUUCUUCCACCACAUACAAAAUGCACUCAAAAUAGAUUAAACCUAAAUGUGAUACUUGAAACUAUAAAAAUCCUAGAAGACAGCACAGGCAAUGAGGUCUCUGACAUUGGCCACAGCAAUAUUUUACUAGACACAUCUCCUGAGGCAAGAGAAAUAAAAGCAAAAAUAAACUAUUGGGACUACAUCAAAACAAAAAGCUUUAGCAAAGUGAAGGAAACAAUCAACAAAACUAGAAGGCAACCUAGUGAAUCAUGUGAAAAGAUAUUUGCAGAUGACAUAUGAGAUAAAGGGUUAGUAUCCAAAAUAUACAAAGAACGAUAUAACUCAACACCCAAAAAACAAUAAUCCAAUAAAAGAUGGGCAGAACACAUAAGCAGACAUUUCCCCAAAGAAGACAUCCUGAUGGCCAAAGACACAUGAAAAGAUGCUUGUCUUCACUCAUCAUCAGGGAAAUGCAAACCCAAGUUACAAUGGGAUAUUGCCUUACACUUGUCAGAAUGGCUAAAAUCAAAAACACAACAAGCAACAAGUGUUGGAGAGGAUAUGGAGAAAAAUGAACCUCUUAGGUUCUGUGGAAAACAGUGCAGAGGUUCUUCAAAAAGUUAAAAAUAGAACUAUCUACCUUAGGAUCCAGUAAUCCCAUUACUGGGAUGCAAGACUUGAUCUCAUAACCCUGAGAUCAUGACCUGAGUGAAAAUCAAGAGCUAGACGCUUAACCAACUGAGGUACCCAGCCACCCCCCAAAACCAGAUUUCUUUUAUUGACUUACAAAAAAUUCUGAAUUACCCAUAUUGAAAUAUAUCCCUCUCCUCCAUUUUAAACAUCAACUAGUUAAUCAAUAUCUGAAGCUUAAAGAAAAAUAAAUAACAAAAUGCAACAUAAUUUUCUUUCUAUAAUUGAAAAGGCUUAACUACAUUUUAAAAAAUAGAGCAACAGACAAAAUACAAUACCUUCUGGAUGUGUUUCUCCUGACUGUUAAAAUAAUGGGUCCUGAGAACAGAGUUCUGAAAUAGCUCACAGUCCAAAAACUCCCUGAAAAUUAAGAAAAAUAAAUAUUACUUCAAGUGCAUCUUAUCUCAAAGAAUUUCAGUGGCAUGUUUUACAAUGAAAUCUUAACUACUAAAAUAAAUUAUCUUAAAAAAUAACACAAAAGAUGUAAAAUAAAAAAUAGUUUUCAUUAUACAUGCUUUCCUUGGGCAUAGCUGUUGACCGCAACUGAUGACCCAUUAUAAAAUUAUUUACCAAAAUAUACUGUCUUUAUAUACAUAAACACUAUCACCUAUUCUCAAGGUGAGAAGUUAAUGGUGAUGAAGAGAAAUUCUGAUCAAGGAUUCUGAGAGAAAAGGUAUUAGGAUUAUUUGGUAGUCAAUACAGAGUUUGAACCACCUCUUUUUUUCCCUCUCUCUAGAUCACCAGGAACAAAAAAAUGUUAAACUGAGAAUUAGAAGCCUUCAGAUACAGAAUGACAUCAACCAUAUAGGAAAGUUCAUAACUCCAGAAAUAAAAAAGUAGGUGAAAAGUUUUGACCAGCAAGAGACACAGCCUCUACUUUAAUACUGUGGUGGCAGAGGAGGCUUUAUAUUGAUCAAUAGGCUAAUGGACAGUGAAGCUGGUUGGUGAUAAGGAAGGCGUGAUGCAGAUACCCUGAUUCCAUUAUAGCAACUUCGACUUCCCAAAAUAAAGGAGCUACUUUUCAUUGUUAUUUCAUUUUACCCGUACCUGUCAGUUUCCCUAAAACCAUACAGGGGAACCAAACUUCUUUUAGUAAUGCUUUCUCAACACCCUACCAAAGCAGGCUCUUUGACCAUUGUGCUUCCAGAUCAUUUUCUCUGCCUCAUGCUUACUAUUAUUCUCAUUGUAAUUGUGAACCAACCCUUUAUUCAUCUGUGAAUCCUCCAACACUUAACAUGGUGCAAGGCCAAGAGCUGAUGUGCAGUAAGUACCUACUCAACAAAGUGAAUCUUAAAGACUUUAUCAAUUAAUAUGCCAUGCUGAAGUAAGAAUAAUCCAUAAAAGGAAAGAGGGUAAUUAUACAGGUCAACUACAAUGAAGAGUAGCUGCCCUUCUUCUAAUUACUUCUCACACACACACACACACACACACACACACACACACACACACAUAUAUAUACACACAGUUCUUCAUCAGCAAAAUUCUUCUAGUAUCUAUGUCAAUGCUCUCCCAACCCUUACAAUCAGCCUGGUAGGAUAGCAGAUCUCCUUUCUGAACCAGGACUCUAAUCAUGCUGUCUGAGGUCCUGCACCAACUGGCAUGAUAACUGGACAUUAACACAAAUCCUCUAAGCACAUACAUCAGCUGCUCCUAAGCAACCCUCCAUCAGCAGCAGGAAAUGUCUCCUACAUGUAUGAGUCAAAGAUACCUAGAAUCAUAACUAAGGGUAGAAUGUUCCCAAAAUUUUACAAGUAGACAGAAGGUAUCAUCUUAAAAUAGAACUAUAACUAUUAGAAAUAACAAACAAACAAAAACCCUGAAAAGACCUCCCAGUGGUUUAAAGAAAAAAAAAAAAAAGCAUUAUCAUUUCCUAUUAGGACAUUACUUUUUCAGCAGCUAAAUAAAAACAUUACCAAAUCAUUUUAUGUAAUAAAAUUUAACCUUAUUUUGACCUUCCUCAUAAAGCAAACAAAUCUCUCUAUCCAAUAAGGUUCCAUCUGAACUAUGUAAGAUGAUAAGCAAUACCUUAAUUGCAUUCAUUUACAUGACUUUGAAACUAUUCUGGGCUGAAGUCACUGACUGCAAGGUCACAGCAUACAAAAAAGUAAAGUGUACGCAAUUUGCUGAGGAGGAAUGAUCCACUUAGAAUGAUAGCACCUUCUCCCUCCCUCAUUAGAAGAUACCAAAUGCUUAAUGCAAUCAACAGGUGCAGAGUUCUCUUUUUGAAACAUAUUACAUAUAUACACACUGAUUUUAUAACUAUAAAUAUAUAGAUAUACUCAGAAUAUAUUUUAGAAUAAGUUCAUCAUAUAAUCAGUCUGCUUAAAUAGAGGUAAAAGACAAUCCACUAGCAUUUAAAAUCAAAAGAUGAAACAGAGCUAUUAUUUUUUCCAUUAUCUCAUAAAAUUUCUAACAACUAAAACUCAGAUAACAAAGUUAUAAUAAUUUUUAGGACAAUAACUACAAACACAGGAUCUAAGGUAUAUUAAGAGUUACUGCUUUCACGUUUUAUAACCUAAACAAGCGUAUGUUCAACUAUUUUGCUUAGAGAAGCAGACUUUACGUGUCUCAAAGUCAGUAAUACAACAUUAGUAAAAGGAAGGAAAUACAACAGACAGAAAUAGACUAUCACAGAUUAUAAAAGGCUAUGUAUAUUCUUUGAAAACCUCAGAAUAUAUCAAAACACACAAAAACAAGUUAACCCACCGGAAUAUUUCCCUGUAGUCUUAUCAAAUUCUAACACAAACUGGAAAAUAUUGGUACUUGAGUUUACUGGAGAAAAGAAAAGGAAACUAAAAUAGGAUCUAGGGGUGCUUUAAAAAGGUUUAUAUUAUUAGUACAAACGGAGAGCAGCAAAUAUUUAUUUCAGGUUUUAUAUAUCAUCACCAGAAUAUUCAUUUAAGAAGUUUCUGUCCAGAGGUGCCUGGACACCUAAGUCAGUUAAGCACCUGACUCUUGGUUUGGGCUCGGGCCAGGAUAUCAGGGUUCUAAGGUUGAGUACCACGUCAGGCUUGCACCAGAUGAGGAGCCCGCUUGGGACUCUUCUUUCUCCCUCUGCUUCUCCCUACCUCCUCUCUCUAGCUCUCAAAAAAAAAAAAAA
rnacentral:lncRNA from 1 species